UACGAAGGGGGCUAGCGUUGCUCGGAAUCACUGGGCGUAAAGGGUGCGUAGGCGGGUCUUUAAGUCAGGGGUGAAAUCCUGGAGCUCAACUCCAGAACUGCCUUUGAUACUGGGGAUCUCGAGUCCGGAAGAGGUGAGUGGAACUCCGAGUGUAGAGGUGAAAUUCGUAGAUAUUCGGAAGAACACCAGUGGCGAAGGCGGCUCACUGGUCCGGUACUGACGCUGAGGUGCGAAAGCUAGGGUAGCAAACGGG
rnacentral:rRNA from 1 species